AAAACAAAAACAGAAAAACUGUCUAAGAUAGAGAAUGAUAUAUGU
rnacentral:guide_RNA from 1 species